rfam:Triticum aestivum genome assembly, contig: Triticum_aestivum_CS42_TGACv1_scaffold_392492_5AS
UUUCUACUCCCUCCGUCCGAAAAUACUUGUCAUCAAAAUGGAUAAAAAGAGAUGUAUCUAAAACUAAAAUACGUCUAGAUACAUUUCCUUUUAUCCAUUUUGAUGACAAGUAUUUCCGGACAGAGGGAGUAUUUG